UGGGGAAUCUUGCACAAUGGGGGAAACCCUGAUGCAGCGACGCCGCGUGAGCGAUGAAGCCCUUCGGGGUGUAAAGCUCUUUCGACGGGAACGAUAAUGACGGUACCCGGAGAAGAAGCUGCGGCUAACUACGUGCCAGCAGCCGCGGUAAUACGUAGGCAGCAAGCGUUGUUCGGAGUUACUGGGCGUAAAGAGUACGUAGGCGGUUUGCUAAGUCUGGUGUGAAAUCUCCUGGCUUAACUGGGAGGGUGCGCUAGAUACUGGCAGGCUUGAGUAUGGGAGAGGAGAGUGGAAUUCCUGGUGUAGCGGUGAAAUGCGUAGAUAUCAGGAGGAACGCCGGUGGUGUAGACGGCUCUCUGGACCAUUACUGACGCUGAGGUACGAAAGCGUGGGUAGCAAACAGG
rnacentral:rRNA from 2 species